rnacentral:lncRNA from 1 species
CCAUGGAGUUGCAAAGAGUCAGACACGACUGAGUGACUGAACUGAACUGAUCUUAACUGAACUGAAAGCUUGAGAACAUGUCAAAGCAUAGGAAAGAAAGAAGGACACAAGAGAUGGAUUUAUGACAUUAAAAAAAAAAUCACUGUUACACAUAGUAAACCAAAGGGGAGAUUACGUGAAACAAAAUAGUGAAGAAAUAGGCAUCCAUGAAAGAAAAUUUUAUAAAGUGAUUACUUUACAUUUUCAGAUCUGGAUUUAGGAAAUUCUUACUGCAAACAGCUCUAAGAAUAAUUCAUGGAUUUACCAACUACCUAUUUCAUAGCAUUUCUGAGUUUGAAUUAACUACAUUCUUCAGUUUGACCAUUUUUAAAAAGUGUUUACUGGAGUUUGUGAUUGCUAUGCAAGAAUAACUCUAUACCUUAUGGGUUCCUGCAGUUUUCUGCAGCUUCCCAAACUGUAUCUGAUUCAGCUUCUUGUGAAAUCUCCACAUGUCUUUCUUUGGGAGCAAUUAAGAGACAGGCAUUUUGUUCUGAAUAGUCUUUUAUAAAAGUUCUAUUUGUUUAUAUUGAAUCUCCUUGGAUUUAAAUUUAGACAUAAUUAAAAUUUUGACAAUGUAUUUUUCAGAGAAUUUUUCUAAACUGUGUGAUUCCUGUUUUGUUAGACCUGUACCCUGCUUUGAAUGUUGCCUCUGAAGGAAAGAAUUAUGUCUCUGUUCAAAUUCUUGGUUUGACCCUUAGCAGAUCACUCACUAGCAAAUGCGAAUAAGUGGUGAAAGCCACAGGACGAAUUCUAUGACCAGGCCUCUCCGGACAAGAGGACCGAAGCAGACGGCAACUCUGACCCCAACUCUGGUGAGUCCCCUUACAAACUUUGCUUGGAGAUUUUCUGGUUUUCUGUUGUGCCCUUGAAUUUUGACAGUAAUCCCGGAGAGCAAGUAAAUGGACAUUCAGUUGUUUUUUGCUGCCUUUAUUGUUGUUUUAAUAUAUUUUUAAAUAGAUCUAACAUGCUUGACAUAUUGGCUGUUAAAUUGUACCGUACACCUUUAGUUUCUGAACCAUGAAAAAUUAAAGAAAAAAAAUGCUGCAGAUGCAAUUGCAAGAAGCCACUUUUUUUUGCAUGACAUCUACAUGUCAAAGAUAUUAAAAUAGGAAGACUUUUUUAGAGUUUAGAAUUGAUACAACAUAGUUAAGUGGACAUAGUCAAUGACAGAAAAGAAAAAAAGUAUCCUGUGGAAUUCUAUUUUCCAGUAAGGACUUUAUAUGGUGAUUGAAACAAGUAUGAAGAGGAGUGAUAGUGAUAUGAAGGUUUUACUUUUUUACCUAUUUAAUUUUGUAUGAUUCUUUAGU